CAUGUUUUUGUCUCAAUUUACUGUUUACUUGUUAUAUAUAUUGCCUGUUCAGAACUGAAAACAUUUAAGAAACUAGUAGUUCUAGGGCUGUAUUGGGGUCUCUCUCUCUCUCUUUCAUAAAGUAGAGUGGUAAGGCUUGCUGCCUUCUGUCUUGGUCAAUUUGUAACAGAGUCCUGUGGGAUGCAGCCCUUAGCAUUACCCUGCAGCCCGGUACCCCUAGUGGCCCUGCUCAGCCACUGGUUGGUGCCACAGCGGCCCCUCCCACAAGCGACCAACUGUCAGAGAGCAACCGUUAGUGGUCCUGCUCAGCCACUGGUCAGUGCCACGCGGGCCCCUCCCACAAGCAACUGUCAGUGAGCUACCGUCAGUGGCCUGUUCAGUCAGCUGUAGGCAAAGUGGUGGUCCUCAGGCGAAGAGUGAGACUAGAGGUGGAUCCUGGCUUCUCCCGGGGCUCACCCUGCCUAGGGCCAGGGGGUGAACAGGUGGCCCAGGAAACAGUCUGAAGGUGGUGUUCUGUAGGGCUCCAGAGCCCCCACCAAGGCCGCCCUGUUGCUGGGCCGGGCCCUGAGGUGGCAGUGAACUUCUCCCCCAUUCCUGCCUCUGCCCCCUCAUGGAAGCCACCGUCUGCAUAGAACGCGGUCUGUGGGAUUGAUCCCUGCCUCUGGGCAGCCUGAGGAGCUUGCGAGAGGGCUGUGUCCCGGGCGUUUCACUCCUUCAUGGAUGCCAUUUGGUCAGGGUCUGGGGACCUGGCCCUGAGGGAGCCACUAGCUGAGCUCUGCCUCCUCUCAAGCCAGGACGGGACCUCAGAGAAAGUUGUGCCUGUCGUGCCUGAGGGCCUGGUUGUUUCUCCUCAGAACCAGGAAUAACACUUGUUUAGCGCAGAUUUACAGGAACAUCAUUACCUGACCAGGACUUGACCUUGGGAAAGGCUCCACGACACCAAGGAGUUUAGACACCUCAUCAUGCCCCUCCCUCCCCUUUCCUAGAAAAGGCCUCUGCUGAGAGCUUUUGGGGAGUCUGGGGUUUAGGAGCUGAGCCACCUGUCUCCUCAGUGGCCCUACACGAAAUCUUCCUCUGCACCAAAAGCAGACAUUUCAGUAUCUUUUGGCCCCACUGGGCCAUGGGGCCCAGAUACUUGUGUUUCAAUAACACAUGAAGGCAGAGACCCUCCCUCCACCCUCUAAAGUCCCUUCCCCACUCUGGGUCCUCCUCUAAGAAUGUGGCUUCUCAAAAGGGAAGGAGACCCAGGGUGACGGGGCAGCACGGGUGGAGUGGGACCCAGUCUCCUGACCAGACUCGGACUGACGGGCCUGUGUCUGGGGAUGGGAUCGGGCCAGCAUCCUGACCAAAGCCGCCAUCCUGGGGGGAGCCAGUCACACUUUGGGCUAAGACCUGCCCAGCAGGACCUCGGCCUUCAGGGGAACAGGGCCGGCAGAAUGCAGAUGCCCCAUCCUGGUUGCUACGGGCCUGCCUCACCGGGCAGAGGAUACGCAGCUACCUGGUGGGAACAGAGGACCCAGCCCAGAGGAGGAUGCUGCCUCCCCACGCAGAUCUGGAGGGGAGCCUGUGGGCGGGAAAGGUGAGGGGGCGGCAAGCGGAUGGUCUUGGUAGGCCAGGCGGGCUCUGGGACAAGGCUGGGGACAGGGCUGGAAUCCCCUAGGGCCUGUGGCCAGUCACCCUGUUUAAAGUUGGGGUCCAUAUGGGGAAUGCUGUGGCUUCCUCCCACGGAAGACCCAUCUGGACCUGCGCCCUGUUCUCUGGGCCUUAGCUGGCCCCCGAGGUGGGCACACACCUCAGGGAGCGUCACUGUAACCGGUUGGGGUCAGCCUCUCCAUGUCUCUUGCCCUGCCCUUUCAGUGUCUAUCAGCGUUUUCCUUCUUAUGUCCAAUUCCUUUCCAGUCUCAUUCUUUGCUUUCCACGGUCACAGUUGCCUCUCUGGAUUCAUGCUAAUAUGUUAAGAGUAUGAAUAAAUUCCAUUUAAUCCAUUUCAUUUGAGUUUAAUUCGGCAAAUAUUUAUGGAGCAAUAGCACGUACCCAGCCCUAGAGGAAAACUCCAAUUUAAACAAAAUACAGCCCCUCAAGACUUUACACAACCAGCACGGUUUUUCCUCAAAGGAAAAAUGAGAUUUUUUAAAUUUUAAUAAUAGUUUAUUUAUGUUAAUGUUCUCUGGAAAUCUAACAAGCACAGCAAAUCGAUGAUUUCAUGAUUACUGUUGUUUAGGAUGAGGCUAAAGAAGGUAGUAUGUCUAUUUAAAGAAAAAAAUUUAACAAAAGAAAUGACAAGAAUCUGUGCAGGUGAUGUACUCAUUACUAAUUGUUAGGAAACAGAAGCUCAAUAAUAGAGAAAGAUGUGUAUCCAAAGGCACGUACCCCAUCCAAAGGGAGGGUAAAAUUACUUCUGGCUUUGGGGAUAAGGAAGAUGUCAGGGAGGAAGUGUCAUAUGACAUGGGCCUUCAAGGAUCUCUCAGAGUUUUUCUAAGAUUAUAUGAAGUGGAGGCCACCCCACAUAGAGGAACCUGCACACUAAGCCACACAAGUGAUUAAAGUAAACGGGGUCUGAGGAGCAGGAAUAGGAUGAAUGCUGGACAGUGAGGUUGGAAAUAGAUGAUGAGGAGUCAAAAAUUAGGGACUUCCCUGGCAAUCCAGUUGUCAAGACUUUGAACUCUCACUGCCAAGGACCUGAGUUCAAUCCCUGAUUGGGGAACUAAGAUUCCCUAAGCUGCGUGGUGGGGGAGAAAAUCAGUUUUGUUCUUUUUGCUGUUGUGACCUAUGUAGAUAAUAUAUCCAAAGCUUUCUUCAGAGUGUGGAUCGUCAUAGAGAGGGCAAGAGUAGUUGAUGGGUUGGGAGGCCGAUUUGUUGGAAUAUGGCUGGCAUCUAGAACAAUGACAGAUGAUAGUAUUGGAGAGCAUCUUCUGAAUAAGCACAAUCUGUGCAUUGUGAAGCUUUUGUUACCUAAGUGUGCACUGAGUCAUGAUGUCAAAUGGAUCCGAAAAGUCUGAAACGAGCUGACCCCAUGUGAUCAGACUUCCCCAUGUGAUGUCACCUGCAGCGCAGGAGACACAGGAGACUUGGGCUCGACCCCUGGGUCAGGAAGAUCUCCCAGAGGAGGAAAAUGGCAGCCACUCCAGUAUUCCUGCCUGAAAAACCCCAUGGACAGAGGAGCCUGAUGGGUUACGAGUCCAAAGGGUCACAAAGAGUCGGACAUGACUGAGCGACUAAGCACGCACGCAUCAUAAGACUUUCAGCUUGUGAGGACCUUCAGGAGCAGUCUCUUUCUGGUCACCUCUGGCUCAGAGGUUAAAGCAUCUGCCUGCAAUGCGGGACACCUAGGUUCAAUCCCUGGGUCGCGAAGAUCCCCUGGAGAAGGAAAUGGCACCCCACUCCAGUAUUCUUGCCUGCAGAAUCCCAUGGACAGAGGAGCCUGGCGGGCUACAGUCCACGGGGUUGCAAAGAGUCAGACAUGACUCUGUGACUUCAUUUUCACUUUUUUUCCACUUUCUCAAGUCUGCUUAGCCAUGUAGGUUGUACUCUCACUUUCACUUUGCCCAUCAAAUCCUUUUUCAGUCUUCCAGGCUUCUGUGAGGAAGUCUCAGGCGUUGUCAGAGGUUGUGGGACGUUUCCUGGUUAAGGGCGAGUUUUUCACUGACUGCAGCCAGCCGGGUUGAUGUUCCUUUGCUGACUCGAAUAGCCAGCUUGGAGCUGCAAUGACCCAGGCCAUACUACUUGUGGCCAGGCGGCUGCCUCUGAGGCCUGAGGCUCCCCUGUCACUGUCUCGGAAUAGUGACAGGCUCUGGAGCUCCUGGCGUGAAGUCUGUGUGGGCUGGUGCAAGUCCAGGCUAUACAGGAGCAUGUUGGAUGCUGCCACUUCAAAGUAAGAGGCAUGGCUUCAAUGACACAUAUUUAAAUAGUUGUGGGAAAACAGGCACCCGGCAGCUAUUUUUAAUUUGUGUUAAAACUAGAACCAGAGUUGCUCAUAGAGUACUGGCUUUGGAUAUAGGAGAUGAAGACUUUUUCAGCUUUACCAUGGAGUUCCUUGGUAAACUGUCUUCUCUCAUCCUCAGCUUCCCCACUGUAAUGAAAACGGGUGACUGUUGGGGUUCUAAGACCCUUUCCGGCUCCGUCCUUCUCUGUCUCUUUCUCCAUCGCCUUAUUCUUGGGACAGCUUUGUUGCUUGUUCUUAUGUUCUCACUCCUCCCUCCGAUGCUGGUGGCAAAUAGAGGAAAUCCAUCCUGGCUUUUCCCUGCUGAGAGGCUCAGCAUCCUUCUCAACACAGUACUCAGCCGCUGCAGCUGAUCUGCUCUGUGUGCACGUGCAAGGUCAGCUUUGCCAUUCUGAUUUGCUAAGGCUGGCAGAAGCAUUUCUCUUCUCUCUCUAUUUUUUAACCACUAAGAGGCCGUAGAAUCUACCCAAGCAGCUGGAAAAGCAGCAAGGUAUUCAUUUUAGAUUAAUUUACAGAAGCAAACUGGGAAAUGCUUGCGCUGCUCCUUGCAACAAAUUUGAAUCUCUUAAAAGCUUGUAUAAGCUAUAGAGUAUCCCCGUGGUAGGAAGUCUUUAAUACUCACUGAAGGAAGGAAGAAGUUUGACUCUUGAAAUGGCGCCAUACUUUUAGCCUUAUAACAUAUAAUACCUUCAAGUAAAGUAAAAGUAACCCCAAGUAAAGAAGAAUUCAAAGUUCACUCUUACGGGACCAGUUACUUGGGUUGAAACAAUUCACUCUGAUUUUUUAGACUCUGUGGAGAAGAGACACGAGUGACGGUGGGCAUUAGAGGUCUGGACGUCCAUGCCCUUCCCAUCUACCCAUCUGCCUGUGUUCUCUUGGGAGCUGGCUAGGGCCCACGGGCAGAGAGGGGGGCAACAGAAAAGAAAGCCGGUACCAGGCCCUGGUGCCAGCAUUUGCUCGGAAAGUUAAUCAACCUCCCUGUGCCUUAGUUUCCUGAUCUGUAAAAUGGGGACUAUACUAGUAUCUCCCUCACAGAGUUGUUAUGAAGAUGAAUGGGAAACACUCAUGUAAAGUACCCAGCAACUGGCACAUAAUAAAUUCAACGAAGGUUAGAUGUUAGUGGCAGUGCUGCCUAAGGCUACGGUAAUUGAAGUGGAAGCCACUUUCUAGUCUUCCUGCUCCUUUUUGUAAUUGUUCAGUUGUUCAGCCAUGUCUGACUCUUUGCAACCCCAUGGACGGCAGCAAGCCAGGCUUCCCUGUCCCCCACCGUCUCCUGGAGUUUGCUCUAACUCUUGUCCACUGAGUAGAGUGAUGCUGUCCAAGCAACUCAUCCUCUGUCACCUCCUUCUCCUCCUGCCCUCAAUCUUUCCCAGCAUCAGGGUCUGUUCCAGUGAGUCGGCUCUUCACAUCAGGUGGCCAAAAUAUCAAAAUAUUGGAGGUCCAGCUUCAUCAGUCCUUCCAAUGAGUAUUCAGGGUUGAUUUCCUGCUCCUUAAAUGGCUAAAAAGACAGGCUUUUUUUUUUUAAGCCUUGGUUUAUUGUGGAUUUUAAAGUUUCUGGCAGAAUCACACAGGCCUUUUUUUUUUUUUUUUUUAACUCUUCUUCCCAUGGUUAUGAUCUUGUGUUACACAAGAAAAAGACUGCUUUCACAAUGUAGGCUCCCUGGAGAAUGCCCUAUAGCCCCGCUGUUUCCUCUUCCUUAGGACCUUCUACCAUGGGAGCCCCUAAAUUUCAACCUGGAAAACUCCUCAAAUCUUCUGCAAUACCAUCUCCUUUAGAAUCUUAAGACUACAGGAUUGUAACUGUCUGUUUUCUGAAGCUAUAGAGACAGCAACUCAAGGAACAGAUUUUCAAAAGGAUACUUUAUUUGAUUAAUUAGUCAAUUCCCUUGUCGUAGAUGUGAAAUUACCCCUAAACCAUCCAGACUGAGGAGACUCUACAGUGAGAAGCAAUGAGCUGCUGGGGUGGAACAAUAGGAGUGCUGAUUUGCAUUGCAAAUGAGCAACCAGCAGGCAAAUGAAUCCUUAUGGGAAAGCCACUGUUAUCAUAAAAACUGCUUGCUUUGGGGAGACUGCAGUGUAAGGACAAACAGAAUCAGAGCUCCAUGAAUCCUCCCCAAUACAGGAUCUUAGAGAAUUAUCCAGGUAGCUCUCUCCAAAAUUGCAUAUGUACACACCAAAAUGCAUUGCUGGGCAAUAGAUAAUAUGUUUAAAACUAGACUCCACAAUUAUGGACUGAGUUAUUUAUGGUUGUCACUAUAGCUAUGAUAGUUUGGAAAUAAAAUAGUCCGGCUUUUCUCUGUUUUUAUUUGUAGGAAAACAAGUCAUUCAAGCUUUUUAGUGAUACAAUGUGACUGGCUGUCGAUGGCAGUUACAAAUUUUCAAGCCCUGCCAAGCACAGGAAUACCCAGAAGGGACAUAUGUUUUCUCUGCUUUGUGUUCCAAAUCUGCCUUAAAAACAUGCAAUUAAGUGAAGGCCUGAUUUAUAUUUUCAAGGAAAAACACAAUAAUGGCUCUGUUUUGUAGCUGUAUUUCUAUUGCUGCCUUUUCAAAUGAAAUUGGUUAAUGAUCACUGGGUCUUUGCUCUCGGUCAUGACGUAUGAAAAUUUGAUGAGGUCUGUGAGAUUUAAGAACUGACUUCAUUUAAGCAAUGGAAAUUCAGUGAACAUCACUGGUACUGCCACCCUGAAAAAUCUUGUGUGGUAAGAGUGUUCAUUCACGUCCUUAUUUUUGUGGACAGUGGGAGAAGGGAGACAGGAAGCAGGUGUAUUUGUAACCAGGAAGCAAAGAUGGAAUGGAAUGACCAGGAUAACAAAGAGCAAACUUUGGAAGGUACCAGAGUCUGUAGGUGUGUCAGGAGAGUAAGUAGGAGGCAGGGUGAGUAGGACAUUGUGGGGAGAUGGAGGGAUGGCUCUGGGGAGAAGUUAUGAAGGGAGAAAGCAAGCCUUUUCGGUCACAUUUUAUACUUAAUUGAAAAUUGCUGUAAAACCUUUUAUAAAUUAUAUAAUCACCAGCUUUGAUUUCACACCCUUCUUUAGUAUUACUAAUGACGACAUUCACUUUAUUUUCUCAGAAGCAUUUCUAGUAAAUUUAAGAUGAGAAGAUGAAUUAGAGUCUCUCUAGAUUGGGGAGCCCCCUCCUGGGAAGGAGGCAAUUUUUUGCUAUUUGUUCUUUUCAGUAAUGGAGGCAGAAAAAGAUGGAAAGGCCAAUUUCACAUAAUAAGGUGGUUAGUGGACAGAUCAUGAUUAUGGUAUAGAUUUCAGGAAAUUUUGAAGCUAGAGAGAAAAAAUAUUCAGGAGCACUAGAAAGACAGAAGUUAUACAGUAAGGAUAACAUAUCUGCAAUAUGUUUUGAUUGCUGUGUACAAAUCCAGAUCCACCACUUUCUAGGAAUAUGCUUUUAGGAUUAUAAAUUUGAGACUAAAUGUCUGAUGUAACAUAUAGACUCAUAAAGUAUAUUGUAUCUUAAAUAUAAUUGUAAAGGCUUAGAGAAUACAGUAUGAAAAUUUUAAAUAAUAUCAUGUUUUCCCAUAAUAUUCCAACCUUAUGGGGAAUAAUUUUCAAAUCUUUAAAAAUUAUUUCACACAAAAGACACAUGUACACCGAUGUUCAUCACAACACAAUUUUCAAUAGCUAGGACAUGGAAGCAACCUAGAUGUCUAUCAACAGAUGAAUGUAUAAAUAAGCUGUGGUACAUAUAAAACAAUAGAAUAAAAAGGAACUCAGCCAUAAAAAGGAGCACAUUUGGUUAGUGAGAGUGAGGUAGAUGAACUUAGAGCCUAUUAUGCAGAGUGAAGGAAGUCAGAAGGAGAAAGGCUAAUGUUGUAUAUUAAUACAUAUAUGUGGAAUCUGGAAAGAUGGUACUGAUGAAUCUGUCUGCAGGGCAGCAAUGGAGAUGCAGACAUAGAAAACAGGCCUGUGGACACAGGCAGGGAAGGAGAGGGUGGGGUGAAUUGAGAGGGUCGCACUGAAACACAUACGUUACCACGUGUAAACUUACACCGCCAGUGGAGAUUGCUGUGUGACGCGGGGAGCCCAUAUCCAGUGCUCUGUAACAACCUAGAUGGGGGAGAUGGGGUGGGAGGCGGGAGGGAGGUUCAAGAGGGAGGCGAUAUAUAUAUAUACACCUAUGGCUGACUCAAGUUGAUAUGUGGCAGAAACCAAAACAAUAUUGUAAAGCAAUUAUCCUCCAAUCAAAGAUAGACAAAGAUAAAAUUUUUAAAAAUUGUUUCACCCUCUGGAAGUCCCAUCUGGGGUAGAAGAUUAGAAGUCACAUGCUCUUAGAGGGUACUAUCUUCUUGUUUGGUCUUGUGGGUGAGCCUGGUACACUCACUGCUUUUGUGGAUGUUGGAGAAGGCUUAGUCUAAGCAAGCGAUGAAUUAAUUCGGGGUAAUAUCUUUUACUGGGGAGGAGAAAUAGCCCCUCAGUUUGAUGGAAUCAUCCUUUACAUGUAUUUAAAUACUGUUAGGGUCUUUCUCUUGGUCAGUUUUUUUAAACAUUACCUCCCAGGUUCCGGUCUUGCCAGAAGAGCCUUACAGGGAAAUUUUAAGUGGAAACUACAGCUGGAGUGCUUUCCCAUUCUAGCGCUAGGGUUUCCAAUUUUGUUCCUGAGUGAAAGCAAGUUAAAAAGUAAUUAUUGAGUCAUUUAAGACAGAAUUUGGCAGGUGCUUCAAUUUUACAAGACGGUAGAGCUCCCUGUAGCUUUGGUGUCAGCCUGAGUUUUAUGGUAAAGCCCACCACCCUAGAAGCUUGAGGUGAUCACAGAAAUUUCAGAAGAUGAUCCCAUCAAGGAAAUGCUGAUUUUCUGCUUGGCUAUCUUCCUCUGGCCUCGUGAGACAGUGCAAGAACAUCAGAGCUUAGUUUGGCUCUAUCCACUAUGACAAUUUAUUCAUUCUUUAUAAGCCAGAAGUUUAACAAUUUUUAUUUAUAAAGGCCAAACUCUUUGUGAACCUAUGGACUGUAGCCCACCAGCCUCCUCUAUCCAUGGAAUUCUCCAGGCAAAAUAUUGGAGUGGGUUUCCAUUCCCUUCUCCAGGGGCUCUUCCCAACCCAGGGAUCAAACCCAGGUCUCCUGCAUUGCAGGCAGCUUCUUUACUGUCUGAGCCACCAGGAAAGCCCCAGCCAAACUGCUGAGAUAAUAGUUAUAAGACUGGAGGGUGAGGUAGAGGCAUUCUCUGGGGGUCUGUUUAUUGAACUAAGGAUGGCCUACUGAAGGUUAAUGAAAUUCCCUAACACCAAGAGUACCAAGAGUCUCUGGCAACAGCUUCAGAGAAUUUACCCCAGGAAAAGGGGUCAGUUCCCCCGAGGUCUCCUGCUGGUUCAGCCUAGAUGAAAUGGACCUGGAGCAAAGGAUGUGACGUGACACAAGGCAGUUCUAAUGCGUUGGACUCCUGAGAGGGAAAAGAGCAUCUUUGGAAUGUGAUCCGGCAGAAUAUUUUCAGUCUUUCUUUUCUGGUAUCAGUCCAGCUCCUGAUCUUUUCUCUCCCAAGUCAAUGCCUGUCCUCUUCUUUCCUUCCACCACCUUGCCACCUCUUCCUUCCCGCCCAGUUGGGCCAAGCCUGCCCCAGAGCUAGGGGCUGAGGAAUCAGCUGAAUUGGAGUCGAGACUGGAACAAUGAAGGUUGGAAUAGCCUAAGUGUUACUCACAGGCUCAGCUACCCAUUGGCCUCCCAUAGACAGAGGAAUCACUGGUUUCCAGAAAUUGCAUUUUAUGGGCAUUCGUAUUCGUAUUAUAUGUUUUUAAUUUAUUUUCUUUUUGUUUUGAUGAGAUCGAACAUCAAGUGACUCCUGAAGAGCUACAGCACUUAAAUGCACUCUUUCAGGAGUAUGAGAAGAGAGGAAGACAGCUGCUGGAUAUGGAAACUUUCAAGUGCAUAAUGAAGCAGAGCACGAGGUCACGGAAGAAAAAUUCAGGACCAUGCCUGGCAUGUACAGGUGCCCAAAUAAAUGCUACAGAAUGAGUGAAUGACUUUAAGGCAAUGUAGUCAUCGUGGACUCAGUUGAGUAUGUCUUAGCAGAAGGAGAAGGGGAUAACAGAGGAUGAGAUGGUUGGAUGGCAUCACUGACUCAAUGGACAUGAGUUUGAGCAAACUCUGGGAGAUAGUGAAGGACAGGGAAGCCUAGAGUGCUGCAGCUCAUGGGGUCACAAAGAGUUGGACAUGACUGAGCGCCUGAACAACAGCAAUUUUCCUAGAAGUAGCUGCUGCUUCUUUUAAGCUGAUAGUGGUCUGCAGUUUCCUGUAACACAGAAGUUAUCUUUUGCACUACAUUGCUGACUCACCAUAACCCCAGUAGGCAGCAAAUGCCAUGAGGGCAAUAAGGCAUCUUUCAGCUCCGAAGCUACAACAUCCAGCACAAAGCCUGGCACACCACUGGUGCUCAACAAGUGAGCAAUGUGAGGCGGCAGUGGUCCAGUGUCCCUCACAUAGUCAUGCUGAGAAGGCAGUCCCCCGGGCAGGGGCAGAGGCUGUUCCUGUAAACACAGGCUUCCCAACUCUGCUCUGGCUGAUGGAAGAAGCUGGGUGUCUCUGGGCAGAGUUACAAUGCUGCAAGGCCAAGGGGUGGUCAUGUGACGGCCGGUGCACUGCCUGAGGGCCCACUCCCACCGUGGCCCUUGCCUGCUGGUGGCCAGGCAGACCCAUGCCUCUUCCAGACUCUGUUUUGUGGCGACAGGGGAGAACCAGGUGGGCAGCCUGAGCCCAGGCAGUGAUUGCCCUCCUCUUGAGCUUUUUUGUUUUCACUUCCCUCUCUGGUCCUAGUCUCUCAGGAAGCCACCCCUCCGGGUGUUUUGGUUUGUUUUCAUUCUAAAAGUAUUUGUUACAAACUAUGUGCAUAGUAUCACCUUGUUGCCAUGGUAAUGUCUGCACUGUAAGCCACACCCAGGAGUGCAGAGCAUGUCUCCUUGGGAGCAUGACUUAGAAGGAACUGGGCUGACCUUAGUCCACAGCCAGGGUGUCUCCUCAUGACCCCUACGCUGACACUGGGUAUUGACUCACCAUGGGGUGAUGCCCUGGUGUCUUGGAGAUCAGGCAUCAUCUCUUUUUCUCCAUUUCAGCUUCAUUACUGUGCAAAGGCAAACACCCCUGAGACUUGUAAGAGAAAAGCCAACAUCUCACUCCCCAAAAUAGACAUAAAACCUGACCAUCUCUAGCGAAGCUGCAAUUAUGGAAUCCUGGGUUUUGAGAGGACUUGAAAGGUCACUUAUAUAUUACCUCUUCAGUGGACAAAUUCUCUUUUCUGUGAGCCAGGAGCCUGCAUCUGCUCGAAUACCUUAAGUUAAAGGCAACUUCAGCUAACGGUAGCCCAUUUCCCAUUUCAAGGUUGGAGAGCUCUGACCUUAAUUUUUUCCCUUUAUGAACUGCAAUUGGUCUGUCUUGACUUUCUACCCAUUAGCCCACUUUCUAAUCUUUUGAACCACUCUAUAAGAAUACACAGAAGAACUGUACAAAAAAGAUCUUCGCGACCAAAUAAUCAUGAUUGUGUGAUCACUCACCUAGAGCCAGACAUCCUGGAAUGUGAAGUCCAGUGGGCCUUAGAAAGCAUCACUACGAACAAAGCUAGUGGAGGUGAUGGGAUUCCAGUUGAGCUGUGCUGCACUCAAUAUGCCAGCAAAUUUGGAAAACUCAGCAGUGGCCACAGGACAGGAAAAGGUCAGUUUUCAUUCCAGUCCCAAAGAAAGGCAAUGCCAAAGAAUGUUCAAACACAGCUGCUCUCAUCUCACACGCCUGUAAAGUAAUGCUCAAAAUUCUCCAAGCCAGGCUUUAGCAACAUGUGAACUGUGAACUUCCAGACAUUCAAGCUGGUUUUAGAAAAGGCAGAGGAACCAGAGAUCAAAUUGGCAACAUCUGAUGGAUCAUGGAAAAAGCAAGAGAGUUCCAGAAAAACAUCUAUUUCUGUUUUAUUGACUAUGCCAAAGCCUUUGACUGUGUGGAUCACAAUAAACUGUGGAAAAUUCUGAAAGAGAUGGGAAUAUCAGACUACCUGACCUGACUCUUGAGAAACCUGUAUGCAGGUCAGGAGGCAACAGUUAGAACUGGACAUGGAACAACAGACUGGUUCCAAAUAGGAAAAGGAGUACGUCAAGGCUGUAUAUUGUCACCCUGCUUAUUUAACUUCUAUGCAGAGUACAUCAUGAGAAACGCUGGGCUGGAGGAAGCACAAGCUGGAAUCAAGAUCGCUGGGAGAAAUAUCAAUAACCUGAGAUAUGCAGAUGACACCACCCUUGUGGCAGAAAGUGAAGAACUAAAAAGCCUCUUGAUGAAAGAGGAGAGUGAAAAAGUUGGCUUAAAGCUCAACAUUCAGAAAACGAAGAUCAUGGCAUCUGGUCCCAUCACUUCAUGGGAAAUAGAUGGGGAAACAGUGGAAACAGUGUCAGACUUUAUUUUUGGGGGGCUCUAAAAUCACUGCAGAUGGUGAUUGCAGUCAUGAAAUUAAAAGACGCUUACUCCUUGGAAGGAAAGUUAUGACCAACCUAGAUAGCAUAUUGAAAAACAGAUGUUACUUUGCCAACAAAGGUCUGUCUAGUCAAGGCUAUGGUUUUUCCAGUGGUCAUGUAUGGAUGUGAGAGCUGGACUGUGAAGAAAGCUGAGUGCCGAAGAAUUGAUGCUUUCGAACUGUGGUGUUGGAGAAGACUCUUGAGAGUCCCUUGGACUGCAAGGAGAUCCAACCAGUCCAUUCUAAAGGAGAUCAGUCCUAGGUGUUCAUUGGAAGGACUGAUGUUACAGCUGAAGCUCCAAUACUUUGGCCACCUCAUGUGAAGAGCUGACUCAUUGGAAAAGACUCUGAUGCUGGGAGGGAUUGGGGGCAGGAGGAGAAGGGGACGACAGAGGAUGAGAUGGCUGGAUGGCAUCACUGACUCGAUGGAUGUAAGUCUGAGUGAACUCUGGGAGUUGGUGAUGGACAGGGAGGCCUGGCGUGCUGUGAUUCUUGGGGUUGCAAAGAGUCGGACACGACUGAGCAACUGAACUGAACUGAACUGGUGAGUUAUCCAUUCCUAGCUACUCACUAGCUUAAAGCUACAUAUUAUUUCACAGUUUUUGUAAGUUAGGCAUCCAGUUGUGGCUUAGCUGGACUCUGUUUCAAGGUGUCUCAUGGGGCUGCAUCGAGGUAUUUAUAUGCUAGGGUCUCAUCUGAAGGCUUGACUAGGGAACAGUGCACUUCCAAGGACACAUGAUUGUUGUCAGGAUUCAGUUUCUUGCUGGUUGUUGGACUAAAGCCUCAGUUCCUUGAUGGCUGUUUGUCCAUUUCCAUGUAAGCAUCUCUACAUGGCAGCUCACAGCAUGGCCACUGGCUUCCUCAAAGCCAGCAAGGGAGAGAGAGCCUACCAGCAAGACAGAAGUUAUGAUCUCAUAUAACCAUAGAGGUGACAUCCCCUUGGGGUUGACGUACUCAACUAGCUACCAGCAGUUUCUCAAGGAGUCGGGGUUGGUAUUCAUCAGCCGUGAACACCAAACGGCAGGGAUCACGGGGUCCAUCUGCCUGGACUGCCACACAGAAGAAAUUUACUUUCUUUCCCACAGAAUCAUCCUUCCAAUACUUGAAAGUAACUUUCACAUCUUUCAUCUUGGCUAUAGUCAAGUGAGUAUCCUUACUAUCCCAGCCAUUGUCCUCAGAACUUGCUAUGUGGCUUGCAGUGUCAAAGUGGAGCCCCUAAACAGAGUUCACCUCCCAGGGUGGAGUGGGAUCUCCUGGGAACAUGAGCCCUGGGAGACCCGCAGCUCCUUCUGCUAAUUAAGGCUUGAUUUCAAAGACAGAAGUUCUAGAAGCCCAGUCUUUCACUGCAGAAGAGUUUUGGCAUCAGUGCACUGAAUUCAGAUUAAGAGUCCUAUUAAUGUUUUAGAGCGAAUGUUCCAGAGUUCUUUGAGUAUUAUGUAUUUUUGAAUAUGAAAUUUCAUAAAUUGGAAAAAUGAAGAUUUUCUCCUCCUUCUGUAUCCCCCCACCCACCCACCAAUCUAGUGAAUAGCUUACUCUAAAGACAUUUUUUUUUUCCUCUCUAGAAUAUUAAACAAAUAGAACAAGUUUUCAUGAAAAUAGACUAUGAAGCAGUGGGCAGAAUUCAGUGGGUAAGCUGGGUUGUGUUUUGUGAAUCAGACUUGAAGUUACUGAGGAAAGGGUAUAAAAUGUUUGUUUCUGAGCCUUUCUGGAGUAUCGUAUGCCCCUUAGUACAUUUGCCAAUUUGAAGGUGAACCAAGGGGACAUACACAUUCACAAUUUUCAAGCUCUUGUAUAUCAGGUUAACUAGGAAUUUCAGUAGCUCAGGCAAGUCCUGAGAAGGCUUUCCUAAAACCAGGGAAUGAAGGACGUAGUUGCUGCGUUGCGUACAUGCAGAUCAAAACCUGUGUCUCUUAUGUCUCCUGCCCAUAUCUCCUGCAGGUUCUUCACCGCUAGUGCCACCUGGGGAUUUGCUACCUGUCAUGCAUGCUAAGUCACUUUGGUCAUGUUUGAGGUUUCGUGACCCUAUAGACUGUAGCCUGCCUGGCUCCUCAGUCCAUGGGGAUUUGCUACCUUACCCAAAAGCAAAAGCGAAACACCAGUGAGCAAGAAACCCUAUGAACAAGCAACACCUAACGAUAAUUAGAUCCCUGACAUACAUGGAAAGUAUUUAGAACAAGGACAGCCACAGAAUAAUUUUUCUACAAAUACUAUCAUCAUCAUCAUCCUCAUCAUCAAUGUUUCCCAGUUUGGAUUGGAUAAUAAUGAGGAGCUGAGACAUCUGCCAAUGAAAUUCUCUGCCAUUGUACAUCAGUAGCCUCCUAUUACUCUAGGAUGAAUUAAGCUCUGAAGUGACAAGUUGAGUCAGAACUUGGACCAGUCCCCUAAUGAAAGCAAAUACAAGUGUUUUCACUGCCAUCUGAUUUGAAAGGGAAUAGUCAGGAUUCCAGGGAAGAGAAGGAAAGACUCUAGUGAAUUAGGGCUUUGCGGGAAGUGGAGAGAAAAUGGAGAAGUUCCCAGGCCUUUUGGGCACUCCCACUCCUUCCCUGUGACCACUGGUCUGCUCUUCCCUACAUGCACUGCUGAGAUUUGAAGUGAAGCCUAUGUCCUGGUGGGUCAGAACUGUGCAGUCAGACCGGCAUGGGCUCAAGUCUCAGGCAAGCCACUUAUAGUUGCUUGAUCCGUGUAUGUGUGUGUGUGUGUGUGUGUGUUAGUCGUUUAACAUUAAAGUGAAAGUCGGUGGUGUCAGUGGUGUCAGUGGUGUCUGACUCUUUGCGACCCCAUGGACUAUACAGUCCAUGGAAUUCUCCUGGCCAGAAUACUGGAGCAGGUUGCCAUUUCCUUCUCCAGGGAUCUUCCUGACCUGGGGAUUGAACCCAGGCCUCCUGCAUUGCAGGCAGAUUCUUUACCAUCUGAGCCACCAGGGAAGCCCCUGUUUGAUCUUAGGCAGAUAAUUUAGUUUUUCUAGGUUUGAGUUUCCCAUUUUGUAAAAUGAGAGCGAUAGUACUUAUCUCAUCCAGUUAUGGCAAGAAUGGAGGUGAAGGUCCACAUUAAGUGAGACAGGGUGUGAUCUCAAUCACCACCAUCAUCAGCAUCAUCUUUAGAGAGACUGGGCAGGGAAGUGAGCCCAGACACUCGGUAGCACACUUCCAGCCCCAGCCCAGCUAGUGCACCCCAGUUAUUAGCUCCCAAGUUUUUGGCAGCCAAGUUCAUGCCAAUGACCUAGUUCAUAAUAAUAUUUACCUCAUGUCCGUGCCCUGAUGAUAAGGAGAAUUUUUGAAAGCCAAAAAGGCAGCAGACAUUUAAUGAACUUUCCCUUCUUCCCCAGGAUGGCUUCUGCACGUAUGUGCAGCGGGUAUAUUCAGAGCAGGCUGAUGCUCGGGCGCGACAGCGAGAGGCUUCCUUCCAGCUGCCUGCUGUGCUGCAGGGGCUGUCUUUCGGGGGUCCCGUGCUGCGCAUUCUCGCUGCGCCUGAUGACACCUUAAUCACGAUCAGAGAAGAUGGUGCCAUUUAUUUCUGGUCCCUGCAGCUGAAGUUGAAAAGAAGAAAGCGGGUUUUUGUAUGUGAUUCUCAUUUGAUAAGGAUGCUGAGUGCUCCAGUUUGAUUUUAUUUGCUAUUUUAAACUGCUCCUUGAGUGGCAUGAUUACAGAAAUUGUGUCCUUGAAUAUAAUAUAUUCAUGUUGGAUUUUGCCAGUCUAUGGGAUGCAAAUAUGAUCUGUAUAUGUAGGACAAGAUAAUUCUUCAUUCCGCUGCUAAAAUCAGAUGGAGUGAUGAAUUACACAUGAUUCCAUCAUGUAAUUUAUCAUGUCUUAAUGAAUGACAAAUGGAAAAGAAUUUUCCGUUUUUCUCCCUGUUAAUGGCUCUUUCAGUUUAGAUAGUUCUGGGAGAACUUACUGAAUCACAGAAUCAGAAAUUCAGAAGGCAAGAAGCACUGGGGAAGUACACUUAGGAAUAACAGUACCUGACCCAUUACAGAAUAGAGUCUAACUUUGAAGUCGUGUUUUAAUUACAUCUUUCAGCAAAUAGUUGAGCUCUUGUCGCUGCUCAGGUUCUAUGCUGGGUGCUGGGAAUAGAUGCCUGUUUCUGCCCUCAGGAAACUUAUCAUCCACCUAGUAGUUAUAGCUGAACUAUACCCCUCAGGCUGCCAAAUAAACCCUCCCUAGAAGUGAAGUCGCUCAGUCGUGUCUGACUCUUUGCGACCUCAUGGGCUGUAUCCUGCCAGGCUCCUCUGUUCAUGGGAUUUUCCACGCAAGAGUACUGGAAUGAGUUGCCAUUUCCUUCUCCAAAGGAUCUUCCCGACCCAGGGAUCGAGCCUCGGUCUCCCGCAUUCUAGGCAGACGCUUUACCAUCUGAGCCACCAGGGAAGGAGAGAAUAAAGUCAAUCCCUCAAGUCUAUGUAGCAAGUUCUCUAUACAGGCAAAUCUUGGUUUACUACAUUCCACAGAUACUGUAUUUUUUUAUAAAUUGAAGGUUUGUGGCAACCCUCUUAUUGAGCAAGUCUAUCAGGGCCAUUUCCCCAACAGUAUUUGCUCACUUUGUGUCUCUGCGUCACAUUUUGGUAAUUCUUGCAAUAUUUCAAACUUUUUCAUUAUAUAUCUGUUGUGGUGAUCAAUGAUCAGGGAUCUUUGAUGUUACUAUUGCAAAAAGAUUACUACCCACUGAAGGCUCAGAUGGUGCCUAGCAUUUUUAACAAGAAAGUAUUUAUUUAUGUAUGUAUUUUUAAUGGAAGUAUGAUUACGUUACAGUGCUGCAUUGGUUUCUACCAAACAACAAAGUGAAUCGGCCAUAAAUUGACCCAAGUCCCCUCCCAAGAAAGCAUUUUUUAAUGAAGAUGUAUACAUUGAUUUAAAAAAAAAAACACAUUGCACACUUAAUAGACUAUCAGCAUAAUGUAAACAUAGCUUGGUCUGCCCAGGGAAACCAGAAAAUUCACAUGACUCACUUCAUCACAGUGGUCCACAAUAGCUCCAAGAUGUACCUAUACUUGGGGGUGAAAGGAAACUGAAGAAACCUGUAGAAUGUUAAGUACGUGUAUUAUGGACCAGAGUGGCUUGAGACAACUGAAACUGUCUUAUCAUUAAAAAGUUUUAUUUUUGUACAUUUCCAUCCUUCUACCCUUUAGGACAAGCCCAUUAUUCGGAAGUCUAGGUGGGUGACGGAUGUUACCAUCAUGCCCCAGUACAACAAACUGAUCCUAGGGACUGGGUGCGUGUCUUUGGCUGUUCAGCUAGGACAAGAAUCAUCAUUGGUCUGUGAAAUUCAUUUCCAUGUGUGGGUUUACACAGACAUAUUCAGGUUUAUGAUAAUAGGAUAAAGAAUGAAGCCCUUUAAAAAAUAUACUAGAACUCAUACAUCAUCAAAGCUGCUGUGCAAAGAAAGCUAUCAGUUUGUCUGGCCAAUUGCAAUGAUAUUGUCAUUGUCUCAAAUUGAUAGUCCUCUUCUGGAAUACUUCCAGAGUGAGAAAAAAAUGUCAUUACAUUUUAGCACCCUUUAUUUUAGAUUCAAAAUAAUGCUGCUAUUUUAUUAGCCACCAAAAUCUAGUCCAAAAGACUUUGGACUGAUUCAAAAAAUAAAAUCCACAGUGAAAACUAUACUCACUGGUGGAGAGCCUCUAAAGAAUGGGCCUUGGAAGAAUGGCCUCCAGCUGUGAAGGAAUAUACUGAAGAUUUUGAUCAAGGGCAACAUAAAGAUUGAAGGCAGGAGGAGAAGGGGACGACAGAGGAUGAGAUGGUCGGAUGGCAUCACCGACUUGAUGGAUAUGAGUUUGAGCAAGCUCUAGGAGUUGGUGAUGGACAAGGAAGCAAGGCAGGGAACGGAAGCCGCAGGCAAGCCUGGCAGGGAGGGAAAGCCUGCAGGGAAGCUGUUGUCAGUCCAUGGGGUUGCAAAGAGUCGGAAACGACUGAGCAACUGAACUGAACUGAACAGAAUGAAAGUAGGCUUCCCUGCUGGCUCAGCCAGUAAAGAAUCCACCUGCAAUGCAGGAGACCUGGGUUCCAUCCCUGGGUCAGGAUGGUCCCCUGGAGAAGGGAAUUGCUACCCACUCCAGUAUUCUUGCCUGGAGAAUUCUACGGACAGAGGAGCCUGGAGGGCUGGAGUCCACAGGGUGGUAAAGAGUCAGAUACGACUGAGCGACUAACACUUUCAAAAUAAUGAAAAUAAAUGUGCAGCAUCCUGGGCACCGCUUGAGCAACCUCAGUAAUGCGCCAAGGCAAGGGCGUGUACAGCUUGGUGGGAAGGAAUUUUGGGAAACUCCAAAUUAAGGCAAAAGCGACCAGGGGAGGGUGAACUGUGAUGGGAGUGGUGGGUGUGUCCAGGCUGAGGAAUUAGACUGUUUAGCAUGGGGCCUUGGGCUCCAAAAUCACUGCAGGUGGUGAUUGCAGCCAUGAAAUUAAAAGACGCUUACUCCUUGGAAGGAAAGUUAUGACCAACCUAGAUAGCAUAUUCAAAAGCAGAGACAUUACUUUGCCAACAAAGGUCCAUCUAGUCAGGGCUAUGGUUUUUCCAGUGGAUAUGUAUGGAUGUGAGAGUUGGACUGUGAAGAAAGCUGAGUGCCGAAGAAUUAACUGUGGUGUUGGAGAAGACUCUUGAGAGUCCCUUGGACUGCAAGGAGAUCCAACCAGUCCAUUCUAAAGGAGAUCAGUCCUGGGUGUUCAUUGGAAGGACUGAUGUUAAAGCUGAAACUCCAAUACUUUGGCCACCUCAUGCAAAGAGCUGACUCAUUGGAAAAGACCCUGAUGCUGGGAGGGAUUGGGGGCAGGAGGAGAAGGGGACGACAGAGGAUGAGACAGCUGGAUGGCAUCACUGACUCAAUGGACAUGAGUUUGAGUGAACUCCGGGAGUUGGUGAUGGACAGGGAGGCCUGGCGUGCUGCGAUUCUUGGGGUCGCAGAGUCCAAUACGACUGAGCGACUGAACUGAACUGAACUGAGCAUGGGGCUGGGGGCGUGGCUACAUGAAGGAGUGGAGGUUGAAUGUGGUUUCCAUCGCCCUGCCUGACCGUCUUCAGACUGCUCCUUCCACCUCCGACUCCUCCCAAACCCAAACUUUCCUCCUUUAGCAGCCCCUGGUUCCCUAGGCCUCAGUGACGUUAGCUAACAGUUAAUAUAACCCCACAUCUUCCAGGCUCUCAAAUACAAUUAAAUUUAAUAUUAAGUUUAAUUAUUAAAACAUAUUAGCAUGUUAAUAUUACUCAUAUAAUUAAUAUCAACCAUUAAAAAACAACAAAUUUGGAUUUCUAAAUUCAGCCCCGUUUGAUUUGAAAAAGCCUGUUCAAUAGCUUUAAUUACCAUGUCUUCUACACACAUAGAAAUUCAGAGAUUAAAGCAGUAACUUCCUAGAGACUCUCUGAGCCUGCAAAUGGGAAAAUAAGGCAAGACAAAUGACUCUGGAGGCAGCGAACCACUCUUGAGCUGCGUGGCAGGUGGAAAGGAAGUGGGAAAACUACACUAAGCACUGAUGGCAAGUAAGGCAAGGCUUCGGAAUUUACGGAGUGACCCCCCCCCCACGCACACCCCCGCACACAUACACGUGUGUUCCAUGUGAGCAGGCUGGAGCAGCCGGCGGUUUCUCUUACACCCACAAGCUUGUUCUUUCAGUCAGCUCCUGGGUGGACAGGCUGACAUAGGAGGAAGGGGUCAAGGACCCAAGUUAAGGAGGACUGAGCAGGGAACUGAGUCCUUGACUCUCCACUGUGUGGCUCUGAUCAUCUGUAUUAUUAGCAGCAAAAAUCAGUUCACGUUUUUGGGCACUCAAGUCCCAGGUAUCAAGCUAACUACUUUCUCACAUACCCUCUCGUUUAAUCCCAGUAACUCUCCUGUAAGACAGGCAUGAGCCCCAUUUUACAGACGAGGGAACUGUGUGAUGAGCUGGGAUCUGAUGUCCCAACUAUUGGCAUCCAGAGCCCAUGUUGUUGGGAAUCAGCCUCCUGAUGGGGAAUAUGGGUGCCAUGACCAGUUCAGAACCAGAUGGAAAUGAUGUCCCCAAAGGGUGGAGCUGGGGAGGAAGCCUCCAGCUCAGCAAGGGGCCAUGCUCAGGAAGGCAGGUGUUUCACUAGUCAGCUGUUUCUGUUUUGUGGAAUCCGUGCAUUAUAAAAAAUGCUCUAUAUAAAAAUCAAGUGGGAAAUUGGAAGUUUACUCCAAGUGUGCUGAUCUCUGAACAGAAACCGUGAAAUCCAGCUGUAUGAACUCUCUAACUUGGAGCCGUACUAUCAGGUUGGUGGCCUGGAAGCUGUUGCGCUGAAACUGAACUACCGGUAAGAAAGAGGCAUCUCCAGGGCCAGGCAGCAUGCCUCUCCCCUGAGCACCAAAUCCUCCCUUCUCUCUCUGUGGACAGUUAUGCACACUUGUGCUCUAUCAGCGGGUGUCCUGGCUCUCAUGGAGCCUGUCAUGCCUGUGUCACUGGUCACGGUGGCGCCCAGAAAGGAGGGGCCUUCCUGCAUCUGUGGAGGAAAGGGAGGCCCAGAGAGGCGAAAUGGUUUCUGCUGAUGAGAUUAUGAAUUAAUCCAUGUUUUAAAUGUGGAUAUGUUAAUUUUCCUGAAACCCGACUCUGACCUUGUUACUCUGCUUUUGAGUGGUUGCCAAGUCCUUCUCCAAUAAUAUUCACACCUUUCAGUGGCACCCAAGCCUCCCCUCCCCACUGCCAUUCUAGCCUCCCUCUGCACCAGGCCUUCAGGGCCAACCUAAACAAAGACCCUUCAACUCCGGUCAGGCAGGUCACUGGAUGCUCUGGAUGCUGUUCCGCUCCCCAGCCAUCCUUCCCAUCAUCUUUCUAAUAUGUGCCUGACCUUGCUGGAUAUGGGGACACAUAUGAAUAAGACAUGGUUCCCAAAAGCUCUCACUGUCUCACAGAGACGGUGGGUUCUGCAAAAAUCCUACCAUUCUUUACGGCCCAAAUGGUAUCUUCAUGACGUCCCCUGAAUCUGCUUCUCACCCAGAAACCGAGUGUCCCCCUGGAAGCAUCCCUGGUCUGUGGCUGUGGGCCCUUACAGACAUCACUGGUACAAAGUCCUGAGUAACCCACAGGUGGCACCCACGCUUCAGUCUUUGCCCUGUGCUCUCUGCCACCUACACACAGACUGGUCCAUAGUAGGCUCUCAAGGAACACUUGUUGAAUAAUCACCUCAGAAAUCUCUUACUGAUUUCAAAAGGAGGAUCCAGUUUUAUUUCGCCUUUUCUGUGCCCCCCACCUUUGCUUUUCUUGCUGCUUGAAGAUUUCAGUAAAAUGUAUCUUUCAUUAGUUUUCUUCCACCUAUCAUUUUGUAUAUUGAGGAAUAUGGAGAAAAGUUGAUGGAUUUAGAAGGAAGUAGCUGAAAACCAAACUUGCAGCAGACCGUGUUCCUGUAGAACAAAGACAGACCCCUUCCCCAGCGCCUCUCCUGCACAGGCGUGGCCCCUCCUGAGGCCUCCUUCCUCUCCAGAGGGAGGGGUGUGUACACCCACCCCACCCCCGGAGGUUAGGGUAGGAUAGGAGGCGCUGGAGCGCUGGGGAAUCCAGGUGCCCAGCCUACAGUGAGGGCAUUGCCAUAAUGAGUUGGCUUUUACCUAAGACAUCUGAGAGUUGCCUGGAAAAUGAUUGAUUGUGUUAGCACUGCUUUUUAGAAAGGCCACUUUGAUGAGAGAAGAAAAAGGACACCCUUGAGAGAGCGUGUGCAGGCCCAGCGAAGCAAGUAUAUAGCUCAGCCUGGCUGUGCGUGCCUCCUGUCUCCCAGCUCCUGGGCCAGACCCCAGCUCCCCACAUCAGAGGAUGCUGGGCUCCUCCUGGGUAGGUCAGAGCCUCUGGGGAAGGCAGGACUUUGUCGUGGACUCAGAUCUCAGCAACUUCACUCAUCUCUGGGGACACUGUGGUCCCAGGACAUCAUGAAGACUUUGUUCUACCCCAGCUCUCUUGGGGCUUGGAGCUGAGGGUGGGGACGCAUCUUUUGCUAUGGGCUAAGGAUUCAGAAAUUGAACUCAGAGGGCACCCAGCCUCAAGGGGAGCACAGCCUGGUGAAUGUGAAUGUGUAAAUCUGCUGGGACUUCCAUAACAAGAUAUCACUGGGUGCCUUAAACAACAGAAAAUCAUUUUCUCACAGUUCUGGAGGCUGGCAAGUCCAAGAUCAAGGUGACAAUCCCUUCUGUUUCUGGCCAGGGCGCUUCCUGGAUUGCAGACAGCCACCCAGUCGCCUUCUCACCGUGUCCUCGCAUGACCUUUCCUUGGUGGGUUGUAUGGGGGCGGGGGGAAUGUUGCUCUAUGGGGUCUCUUAACCCUCUCAUAAGAGCCCCAGCCUCAUGAACUCAUCUAACCCUAAUUACAUCCCAAAGACCCCAUCUCCAAAUACCAUCACGUUGGAGGUUAGAGUUUUAACAUAUGAAUUUUGGGGGGACACAAACAUUUUAUCCACAAUAGUGAAUAUUUACUGACUUGGGGUGUACAUUCCAAUCAGUUACCUCUCCCUUAAUGAGGGUGGGAUGGAGCAAUGGCAUUGGCCAUGUAAUCAACCAAUGGGACUGUUUGUUGAUGAUGUCAUUCUCUGAGAGCUUCUCCGUUGGACUAGGAAUGAGGUUUAGGAUGCCCUCCAUGCCUCUGACAUGGAGACUAGUUUUCUUUUCUUUUUUUCUUUCACCAAGAUUUAGCUUCUGUGUGUGGGUGCUCAGUCAUUCAGUCAUAUCUGACUCUUUGUGACCCCGUGGACGGCAACCCUCCAGGCUCCUCUGUCCACGGGAUUUCCCAGUUACGAGGAUCCUGACAAGUGCCUGCUUCUCUAUGGUGAUGAUCAGCUGUGUUGCAGGGAUGUGUGAGCAUUCUGCUUUUGGCUUCUGUCGGUGAACUAUUAAGGCACAGUCCCACAAGGAUGGAGUGAAUGAGAGGAAACGGCAGCAACAAAAUUCGCAAGUUGGAAAGCAGAUAAAACAAAUGGCAUGAAACAGCAAUACAAUGCCAUUAUUAUCUUUGGAGAGACAAGAUGGAAUCCAUUAAAUAAGAAGAUGCCAGUACAGAGGAAAAUCCAGAGGGGAAAAAAGAAUUCUUGGAAAUUAAAAUUGUGAUUUUAAAUAUUUAACUUAAUAAAAUGGUUGGAAGAUAAUAUUUUCCCAGAAAGCACAACAACAACAACAGAAAAAAGUGAAAUAAAGAGAAAAGAUUAACAAAAACUAUAUGACCAGUCUGGGAAGUAAAAUAUUCAAAUACUAUGCACACAAAAAGAGAAAAGAGAGAGAAGAAAAGAAUCCAAUAGUUUAAGAACAUUUUCCAAAACAGUGAGAGCAAAGAGAAGAUUUUAGAAGUGUCCAGAGGAGACAAGUCAGAUCACCAUGCAGAGGAUCAGGACUCAGUAAUGGAUCUGAAUUUCACCACAGCAGAACUGGGAGCUAGAAAGC
ensembl:lncRNA